ensembl:lncRNA
CUCCAGGAAUCCCUUCAGAGCACUUUAUUUUCAGGCGAGCACCGGGCGCUCUACAGACCUAGACCUGGGCUGUGGAAAGGGAAGAGCAGAGCGGAUGGGUUACGCAGAGGAUGCUCAGGCUGAGCCUCGGGGUCUGGCGCUCCUGGACUCUGCUGAGGGCUGACAGGGAAGGACAGGUGCCUUCCUCUGAGCCCGGCUUUGAACAGAUCUGGUACCAAGGCGAGAGGAACAGCUUGAUGACUCUAAUUUCAAAAAGGGACAGUGAGAAACUCGGGUGCUUUGGUGAAAAGGGCUCAUUUGUGGAGUUACUUUGCAAAAUCACAUGGUUCGUAAACUCCAGGUCGGAAGCUCAGCUGAGGAUAGUUUGCAGUGCAUGAACUUCCUCCCUCCACUGCGGCAGGUAAACAUUUUAACUUCAAAUCUCUUCACAUGGGAAGGAAACUCCCAUCCAUGAAGAAAUUUUAUCCAUGGGGUAGAAGACAGUUUCAUGGAAUUCUCAUCAUUUGCAUAGCUUUAAAAAAAAACACCAGAAAAGAAUUAAGUCUCGCUGUCACAGAAGACUCUAAAUGGAGCUUUUAUUCGAAGAAUAUAUUAAGAGGUAGGAUGGUUGCAUAAAGGUUGCAAUAGGAUUGGAAUUUCUAAACUAUUGCUUUCUCGCGUACUGGGUCUGGACAAGCCAGGCAGUGCUUUAGUGCCUCUGUGCCCUUGCCUAUGAGAUAUUAUUGAAACACUUUCACUAUGACAGUGGACAAGAAUAUAUAAUGGAGGACUAUUGUAAACUCACAUUGUAGAUUAUUAUUGGAGCGCUGAUAAAGCCUACGAGUUAGUGGUAGGGUAAAAGAAUACUAGAAAAGAGUUCCUGGAAUACAAAGUAAAAACUACAGAUUCUCUGAGGAGCAGGACAACAGUGUGGUAAGAACGAGGAACCAGGGGGCAGUACAGGAUCUGCUCUCCAAUCCUAUUGUUCUGAUCUCAUCUUCCCACCUCAUUCUAUUCCAGAUUCAUUGGCCUCCUUGCUGUUUCUAGAAUAUACUAAUGAUGCUUGGAAUAACAUUCCAUAUACCAGCAUGCCUUCCUGCCUUCAGAUGUCUGCUCAAAUGUGACUUCAUUGCAGAGGCUUGCCCCUGUGAUCCUGCAAAAAAUGCCUCUCACUCACUCACAUCAACUUUCAUCUCUUUAACUGUUUUAUUUUAUUUUACUACCACAUGACAUUUGCUUCCCAUGAAAACAGAAGCCUCAUGAGAGCAGGAACUUUGUUUAUUGCUGUAGUACCAGAAUCUAUAGUGUAUGGAUGGAAAUGAUUGAAUAAACUGGAAUAGGGACAGAAUACCUGGGUUCCAGGCCUUCCUCACUGUGUUAACAUGGACAAGACAGGACAAGAGAUAGUAUAUAUUUUUUUUGCUUAGUAGUUGUAAAGAUUAAGGGAAGAAGGAAGAAACAUUUAGGAACACCUACUACUAAGCAAAGUAAUUUUCAUUAAGUUUCAUAUCAAUCUGAUAAAUAUUAGUACUCCCAUUUUACAGAUUAACUGCAUCUAAGAGAGUUUGUGACUUCUGUAAAAUCUAGUGCUAUUAAAGUGUGCAAAAUAAAGAUUAAAUAUAUCACAUGUAAAUGCAAGCUAUUUUUAUAAUCAAACUAGUUACACUUUAUCGUUUUUCCUUUUUGUGGAAAAGAGGGUCUGCUAUAUUGCCCAGGCAGGCCUUGAGCUCCUGAGCUCCAGCUAUCCUCCCACCUCUGUCUCCCUAAGUGCUGGGAUUAUGGGCAUGAGCCACCACAUCUGACUGAUCAAAUUAGUAAUGAAAUUAAUAAAUAACUACUUUUAAUAAACCAUCUAUAAUUUACUAGAUAAAAAUUGUAUAUAGAUAGGCCAGUUUCUUCAUUUUUAUAACUUUAGGCAUGGAAUAAGACAAG